UACGAAGGGGCUAGCGUUGUUCGGAAUUACUGGGCGUAAAGCGCGCGCAGGCGGUCUUCCAAGUCAGUGGUGAAAGCCCGGAGCUCAACUCCGGAACUGCCAUUGAAACUGUAAGACUUGAGGAUGAGAGAGGUGAGUGGAAUUCCCAGUGUAGAGGUGAAAUUCGUAGAUAUUGGGAAGAACACCGGUGGCGAAGGCGGCUCACUGGCUCAUUACUGACGCUCAGGCGCGACAGCGUGGGGAUCAAACAGG
rnacentral:rRNA from 1 species